UACAGAGGUCUCAAGCGUUGUUCGGAUUUACUGGGCGUAAAGCGUGCGUAGGCGGCGAGGUAAGUCAGAUGUGAAAGCUCAGGGCUCAACCCUGAAAUUGCAUCCGAUACUGCCUUGCUAGAGUAAUGGAGGGGAGUCUGGAAUUCACGGUGUAGCAGUGAAAUGCGUAGAUAUCGUGAGGAACACUAGUGGCGAAGGCGAGACUCUGGACAUUUACUGACGCUCAGGCACGAAGGCUAGGGUAGCGAAGCGG
rnacentral:rRNA from 1 species